rnacentral:rRNA from 1 species
GAUGAACGCUGGCGGCGUGCCUAAUACAUGCAAGUCGAGCGAAUGGAUUAAGAGCUUGCUCUUAUGAAGUUAGCGGCGGACGGGUGAGUAACACGUGGGUAACCUGCCCAUAAGACUGGGAUAACUCCGGGAAACCGGGGCUAAUACCGGGUAACAUUUUGAACCGCAUGGUUCGACAUUGAAAGGCGGCUUCGGCUGUCACUUAUGGAUGGACCCGCGUCGCAUUAGCUAGUUGGUGAGGUAACGGCUCACCAAGGCAACGAUGCGUAGCCGACCUGAGAGGGUGAUGGGCCACACUGGGACUGGGGCACGGCCCAGACGCCUACGGGGGGCAGCAGUAGGGAAUCUUCCGCAAUGGACGAAAGUCUGACGGAGCAACGCCGCGUGAGUGAUGAAGGCUUUCGGGUCGUAAAACUCUGUUGUUAGGGAAGAACAAGUGCUAGUUGAAUAAGCUGGCACCUUGACGGUACCUAACCAGAAAGCCACGGCUAACUACGUGCCAGCCGCCGCCGUAA